GGGACGGAGAUGGAGAGGUGGCUGGUGUUAAGAGGCACCAUUUCAGAGGCCAGGUGCCUGGCUUCCUUGACCAUGCUCCUAUCCUGGUCUGGGCAGAUUGGCAAGUGUCUCCUACCCCAUCCCAAGGGUUGGCCCCUCUACCCUUGCUCUACUCCCACCUCUCCCUGACAUCCUGAUUCAUCCAGCUACUUUCUCCUAACUGGGCACCUCCCAGACUUAUAGCCUCUCCUCUCCAAGACGUUCCCUCCCUGCCACCUUCCUGGGCAAAUUCCAGCCCAAGCUGGUAAAAAGGAACCACGGGCCCCUUCCUUUCCCUAGGGCUUGGGUCUUCCACCCCAGUGACAUGAGGAGGGUCACGUGGCUUCUCAAACACCAAGUAACAAUGGGGGCGAUAAGUCAGCUCAGAGCCCAGGACCCCUGCUUCUAAUGAGCUCCUGUCCCCCAGAGUGGCAAGCCACCUUUUUCCAGAGUCAACUGAGGGGCUCCUGGAGCCAACGCUGGGUGUGGAGCCUCCAGAGGCCCUCAGCCUCAGCCAGAAACCAGCAUGCAGUUUUCCAUCCCUUCGGCCCUGCAGCCUCAGACUUCCAAGCCUCAGUUUCCCCAGCUCAAAA